UUGCUGCUUUGCUGACGAGUGGCGGACGGGUGAGUAAUGUCUGGGAAACUGCCUGAUGGAGGGGGAUAACUACUGGAAACGGUAGCUAAUACCGCAUAACGUCGCAAGACCAAAGAGGGGGACCUUAGGGCCUCUUGCCAUCGGAUGUGCCCAGAUGGGAUUAGCUAGUAGGUGGGGUAACGGCUCACCUAGGCGACGAUCCCUAGCUGGUCUGAGAGGAUGACCAGCCACACUGGAACUGAGACACGGUCCAGACUCCUACGGGAGGCAGCAGUGGGGAAUAUUGCACAAUGGGCGCAAGCCUGAUGCAGCCAUGCCGCGUGUAUGAAGAAGGCCUUCGGGUUGUAAAGUACUUUCAGCGGGGAGGAAGGGAGUAAAGUUAAUACCUUUGCUCAUUGACGUUACCCGCAGAAGAAGCACCGGCUAACUCCGUGCCAGCAGCCGCGGUAAUACGGAGGGUGCAAGCGUUAAUCGGAAUUACUGGGCGUAAAGCGCACGCAGGCGGUUUGUUAAGUCAGAUGUGAAAUCCCC
rnacentral:rRNA from 1 species